UACAGAGGGGGCGAGCGUUGUUCGGAAUUACUGGGCGUAAAGGGCGCGUAGGCGGCCUGCUAAGUCGGACGUGAAAUCCCUCGGCUCAACCGGGGAACUGCGUCCGAUACUGGUUGGCUUGAAUUCGGGAGAGGGAUGCGGAAUUCCAGGUGUAGCGGUGAAAUGCGUAGAUAUCUGGAGGAACACCGGUGGCGAAGGCGGCAUCCUGGACCGAGAUUGACGCUGAUGCGCGAAAGCCAGGGGAGCAAACGGGAUUAGAUACCCCGGUAGUCCUGGCCCUAAACGAUGAAUGCUUGGUGUGGCGGGUAUCGAUCCCUGCCGUGCCGAAGCUAACGCAUUAAGCAUUCCGCCUGGGGAGUACGGUCGCAAGGCUGAA
rnacentral:rRNA from 1 species